rnacentral:rRNA from 1 species
AGUGAACGCUGGCGGUAGGCCUAACACAUGCAGGUCGAACGGCAGCACAGGAGAGCUUGCUCUCUGGGUGGCGAGUGGCGGACGGGUGAGGAAUACAUCGGAAUCUGCCCAGUCGUGGGGGAUAACGUAGGGAAACUUACGCUAAUACCGCAUACGACCUUCGGGUGAAAGAGGGGGAUCGCAAGACCUCUCGCGAUUGGAUGAGCCGAUGUCGGAUUAGCUAGUUGGCGGGGUAAUGGCCCACCAAGGCGACGAUCCGUAGCUGGUCUGAGAGGAUGAUCAGCCACACUGGAACUGAGACACGGUCCAGACUCCUACGGGAGGCAGCAGUGGGGAAUAUUGGACAAUGGGCGCAAGCCUGAUCCAGCCAUACCGCGUGGGUGAAGAAGGCCUUCGGGUUGUAAAGCCCUUUUGUUGGGAAAGAAAUCUUUCAGGCUAAUACCCUGGGAGGAUGACGGUACCCAAAGAAUAAGCACCGGCUAACUUCGUG